rnacentral:rRNA from 1 species
CUUAACACAUGCAAGUCGAACGGAAAGAGAGGAAAGAGCUUGCUCUUUAUUAAUUUCAGUGGCAAACGGGAGAGUAACACGUAAACAACCUGCCUUAAGGAUGGGGAUAACAGACGGAAACGACUGCUAAUACCGAAUACGUUCUAAACCUCGCAUGCUGCAGAGAAAAAAGGGUGGCCUCUACCAGAAAGCUAUCGCCUUAAGAGGGAUUUGCUACUGAUUAGGUAGUUGGUGAGGUAACGGCUCACCAAGCCGACGAUCAGAAACCAGUCUGAGACGAUGAGCGGCCACACUGGAACUGAGACUCGGACCAGACUCCUACGGGAGGAAUCAUGGGGGAAGCUUCCACACUGGACGAAAGUCUGACGGAGCAACGCCGCGUGAACUAAAAACGUCUUCGGAUUGUAAAGUUCUGUAAUUCGAGACGAACGGGUUUGUGGUGAAUAAUCAUAUACAUUGACGGUACCGAAAAAGCACGCCACGACUAACUACGUGCCAGCAGCCGCGGUAAUACGUAGGAGGCAAGCGUUGUCCGGAAUUAUUGGGCGUAAAGCGCGCGCAAGCCGCUUCUUAAGUCCAUCUUAGAAGCGUGUGACUCAACCCCAUGAGGGGAUGGAAACUGGUAAACUGGAGUAUCGCAGAGAAAAGUGGAAUUCCUACUGUAGCGUGGAUAUGCGUAGAGAUUAGAAAGAACACCGGUGGUGAAGGCGACGUUGUAGACGAUAUCUGACGUUGAGGCGCGUAAGCGUGGGGAGCAAGCAGGACUAGAUAGAUUGGUAGUCCUCGCCGUACACGAUGGAUACUAUGAGUAGGAGGUAUUGAGCCUUCCUGUGCGGGAGUGAAGGCAAUACGUAUAGCGUCUGGGAAGUGAGAUAGCAAGAUUACAAUUCAAAUGAAUUGACGGGGGGGCGCACAAGCGGUGGAGUAUGUGGUGUAAUUUGAUUCGACGCGAAGAGCAGUACCAAGCCUUGACAUUGCUCGCAAUCCAUAGAAAUAUGGAGUUAUUAUUCGGUAGAGGAGAAAACAGGUGGUGCACGGCGGUUGUCAGCUCGUGUUGUGAGAUAUUGGGUUAAGUCUCGCAACGAGCGCAACCCCUAUUUCCUGUUACCAGCACGUAAAGGUGGGGAAUCUGGAGAGAGCGCCGCGGACAACGUGGAGGAAGGCGGGGAGAGACGUCAAGUUAUCAUAUCCCCUUAUGGUUUGGGGUUCCCACGUAGUUCAAAGGGUGCCAACAAAGAGAAGCGAAAUCGCGAGAUGGAGCGGACCUCAUAAACGCACUCUCAGUUCAGAUUGCAGGCUGCAACUCGCCUGCAUGAAGUAGGAAUCGCUAGUAAUCGCGGGUCAGCAUAUCGCGGUGAAUACGUUCCCGGGCCUUGUACACACCGCCCGUCACACCAUGAGAGUUAGAGACACCCGAAGCCGGUGAGGUAACCGCAAGGGGCCAGCCGUCUAAGGUGGAGUUGAUGAUUGGAGUGAAGUCA